ACGGGUGAGUAAUGCCUAGGAAUCUGCCUGGUAGUGGGGGAUAACGCUCGGAAACGGACGCUAAUACCGCAUACGUCCUACGGGAGAAAGCAGGGGACCUUCGGGCCUUGCGCUAUCAGAUGAGCCUAGGUCGGAUUAGCUAGUUGGUGAGGUAAUGGCUCACCAAGGCGACGAUCCGUAACUGGUCUGAGAGGAUGAUCAGUCACACUGGAACUGAGACACGGUCCAGACUCCUACGGGAGGCAGCAGUGGGGAAUAUUGGACAAUGGGCGAAAGCCUGAUCCAGCCAUGCCGCGUGUGUGAAGAAGGUCUUCGGAUUGUAAAGCACUUUAAGUUGGGAGGAAGGGUUGUAACCUAAUACGUUGCAAUCUUGACGUUACCGACAGAAUAAGCACCGGCUAACUCUGUGCCAGCAGCCGCGGUAAUACAGAGGGUGCAAGCGUUAAUCGGAAUUACUGGGCGUAAAGCGCGCGUAGGUGGUUCGUUAAGUUGGAUGUGAAAUCCCCGGGCUCAACCUGGGAACUGCAUUCAAAACUGACGAGCUAGAGUAUGGUAGAGGGUGGUGGAAUUUCCUGUGUAGC
rnacentral:rRNA from 1 species